rnacentral:rRNA from 1 species
UACGUAGGGUGCGAGCGUUAAUCGGAAUUACUGGGCGUAAAGUGUGCGCAGGCGGCCGAGCAAGUCGAGUGUGAAAGCCCCGGGCUUAACCUGGGAACUGCAUUGGUGACUGGCAGGCUUUGAGUGUGGCAGAGGGAGGUAGAAUUCCACGUGUAGCAGUGAAAUGCGUAGAGAUGUGGAGGAAUACCGAUGGCGAAGGCAGCCUCCUGGGCCAACACUGACGCUCAUGCACGAAAGCGUGGGGAGCAAACAGG